AGCAGCCGCGGUAAUUCCAGCUCCAAUAGCGUAUAUUAAAGUUGUUGCAGUUAAAAAGCUCGUAGUUGAAUUUCGAGACCGGCUUACUGGUCGUGCUUUUGUACGUACUGGUAUAAUCGGUUUCUCCUUUCUGACGAACUAUAAUGCCAUUAAUUUGGUGUUAUAGGGAAUCAGGACUGUUACUUUGAAAAAUUAGAGUGUUUAAAGCAGGCUCACGCUUGAAUACAUUAGCAUGGAAUAACGGAAUAGGACGUUUGAUUCUAUUUUGUUGGUUUCUAGGAUCGACGUAAUGAUUAAUAGGGAUAGUUGGGGGCAUUAGUAUUCAAUUGUCAGAGGUGAAAUUCUUGGAUUUAUUGAAGACUAACUACUGCGAAAGCAUUUGCCAAGGAUGUUUUCAUUAAUCAAGAACGAAAGUUAGGGGAUCGAAGACGAUCAGAUACCGUCGUAGUCUUAACCAUAAACUAUGCCGACUAGGGAUCGGAUGAUGUUAAUUUUUUAAUGUACUCAUUCGGCGCCUUAC
rnacentral:sRNA from 1 species